UGGGGAAUAUUGGACAAUGGGCGCAAGCCUGAUCCAGCGACGCCGCGUGUGUGAAGAAGGCCUGCGGGUUGUAAAGCACUUUUAGUAGAGACGAAAAGCUUCGGGUUAAUAACCCGGGGUCUUGACUUAACCUACAGAAAAAGCACCGGCUAACUCUGUGCCAGCAGCCGCGGUAAUACAGAGGGUGCGAGCGUUAAUCGGAAUUACUGGGCGUAAAGCGCGCGUAGGCGGUUUUGUAAGUCGGGUGUGAAAGCCCCGGGCUCAACCUGGGAACUGCAUUCGAAACUGCAAGACUGGAGUAUGGGAGAGGGCAGCGGAAUUUCCGGUGUAGCGGUGAAAUGCGUAGAUAUCGGAAGGAACAUCAGUGGCGAAAGCGGCUGCCUGGCCCAAUACUGACGCUCAUGUGCGAAAGCGUGGGGAGCAAACAGGAUUAGAUACCCCGGUAGUCC
rnacentral:rRNA from 1 species